AUGUUAUAUUUGCAACCUACGAAGAAAUACGACAGGCAGAAGGUACAAACAACUUCGGCCGAGAAGAAGGCCCGUAAGAAACAACAAAGUGAUAAAGCUGUGGAGGAUGAUUCUCGUUCUCAGUGCACACCUAAUGGGCAGAAGAAACUGCUUUCCCCCAAAAUGGACAGCCAUUUCCAUCCAAGUUUGGUUGAGCAGUCAUGGUAUUCCUGGUGGGAAUCAGCGCAUUACUUUGGGGCAGAUUCUACAUGCACAAAGCCACCAUUUGUUAUGGUUCUGUCCCCCCAAGAUGUGGAAGGAGACCUUAGCCAUGCAUAUACAGUGGCUAUACAAGAUGCCAUGAUACGUUGGCGUAGAAUGUCAGGCUACAAUGCUUUAUUGGUCCCUGGAGUGGGCCAUGCUGACAUGCCUACUGAGGUAUGCCAAUCGAAAGCUCGGUGUGAUAGAAAUAUGAACCUGCGCCGUCUUGGAGUCUCAGUUGAUUGGUCACGCGAGGUUCUUACAAUGGAUGAGAAAAGAUCAAAAGCCGUAACUGAAGCUUUUGUCAGCUUCCACAAGGCAGGCCUGAUACGUAGGGAUUGUCGCCUUGUGAAAAAUGAUUGCACACCUGAAACUACAAGUUCUGACACUAAGGGGUUGUACAAGGACAUGCUGAAGAAUGAAAUGAGUUUAGGCGUUCACUCAGGAACUAAUGAUGUAGUGGAACCUAUGCUAAAAUCACAGUGGUUUCUUAAUGGCAACACCAUGGCCAAGGCAGCACAUGACGCUCUAAAGUCUAAACAAGUCGAAAUUAUUCCCCAGCACUAUGAAGAGCACUGGCACAACAGAGAAAAUAUAAAUGAUUGGUGUGUUUCAAGGCAACUUCCAUGGGGACAUCGUGUACCUGCGUGGUACGUGACAUUAGAAGAUGACCAUGAUAGAAGUAUUGGUUAUUGUGAUAAUCGCUGGGUAGUUGCAAGAAGCGAGAAGGAUGCAAAUCUGGAGGCACAAAAAAAAUAUCCAGGAAAGAAAUUCCAACUUGAUCAAGACCCUGAUGUUCUAGACACAUGGUUUUUGUCUAGCCUCAUCCCCUUAAUGGUAUGUGGUUGGCCGGCUGAUAUGGCUGACUUCAGGGACUUGUACCCUACGUCUGUGUUGGUAACUGGAUACGAUACUCCCUCUCUUUGGGUAGAACGGACAGUGAUGAUGGGGAUGCAACUGGUUGGGAAUGUGCCCUUUCAGAAGUCGGAAUCGCUUGGCAGCAACAUCAGUCUUCUUGAGGUGAUGACAAAUGGCAUGUCGCUUGAAAAAAUUCAGAAACAUGUGGAAGAUGGCGACAUGAACCUAAAUGAAUUAAACAUUAGAAAAGAAAUGCUGGAGAAGGACUUACCUGAUGGUAUACCUGAAUGUGGUAUCGACGCGGUCUGCUUUGCACUGAUUUCAUGCAGUUCACAGGUUGAAAGGGUAAAUUUCGAUAUCAGAAGAGUGAUCAGAUUCAGAGAAGGUUGCAGUAAAUUGUGGAAAGCCUUCCGUUUUGCACUGGAGAAACUUGGGGACCAGUAUGUUCCACCUACAACGGUAGAUGUGUCUAUCUUACCGCCAAUUUGCAAAUGGAUUCUUUCAGUUCUAAACAAAACGAUAGUGAAGACUGUUACCUGUUUAGAAGUUCACAAGUUCUCUGAUGCCAGUUCUGCUGUAUACUCAUGGUGGCAACACCAAAUGCGCAUUGUAUUUAUAGAGUCAAUAAAAUGUUAUUUCGCUGAUAGAACUCAGAGCUUUGAAUGUGAAAGGGCUGCCAUUAGGGAUACCCUAUGGAUUUGCUUGGACAGUGGUUUGCGCUUGCUCCAUCCAUUCAUGCCUUAUAUUACAGAAGAGCUCUGGCAGCGUCUUCCACAGCCGAAAGGUUCUUCUAGGAAAGAUUCCAUCAUGAUUUCGGAAUAUCCAUCUCAUGUGAAGGAGUGGACAGAUGAUGAACUUGAAAAAGAUAUCAGCAUUGUCUUGGAUGUUGUGCAAAAAAUAAAGCUUCUGAAGUUACCAACAGAUACAAAUGAAAGACGAACUGCUUUUGCACUUUGCCAAGGGGAAGGGCCUGCUUACACCUUGCAAUGCCAUCAAUCUUUAAUUCUGUCCCUAUGUUCUGUAUCACAUUUUAAGAUUCUGAGAGAGAAUGAUCAAUCUCCAGUUCAGUGUGUAACUGCUGCUGUAAACGAAGAGAUCACUGUGUACGUUCAAAAUGCAGAUGCUCGGCACGAAAAGCUAGGAGAAAUGGAGUGUGUGCUUCAAUAUCGACAUGCCUACGAGGAGACACAUCCAGACAUUGAGCUAGAAAUUGCCUCUCCAUAUCCGCCAGAUGAUGGAUGUCUAAUUGAAAGAAUAUUCCUCACCUUCCUAAGAGGGUAUCUAGUGAACAAGCAAAAGUAUUAUGUGCUCAUAUCGGAAGCGUUAAAGAUGAUGAAUUCUGGUGAUAUGCCCAUUGUUUAUUCUCACGUGCUACAGUUUGACGCGAGACUUGCAUCCACAAUCAAGUUCUUUUUUGGCAGGGUGCAAAAAAACCUUAUUAAUGCGGCAACUAUCUUCCUGAAAGAGGAUGUUGACUACAAAUGUGAAAACCUGUCCAUCACCAUUUCCAACAUACCCAGGCCGUGCAGCUUAUUGUCACUCAAGGAUUUUUGGAAGUCAUCUGAGCAUAAACCAGCAGUAGAACGUGAUAUCUACAGUGCCGAAACUUGCUUAAGACUAACGACAACAACACCGUCUGGAAGGAUUCCCCUUCUAAAUCUUCUUAAGAAGAUUUGUAGCAACUUUGAGAGAGGAAAAAGCUGGAACGGUCAGUGGAACAUUGAGGAUGUCAUAGUUUAUGUCGUGACGUAUCAGGUGGAUAUACUGAAGCCUUUCUCUAGUAAAUGUAAUCAUAGUACCUUGGCAAAGGAUCUUAUGGUGGUUAUCAAGGAUAUUAUUCCAGAGUUCAGAUGUGGUGGGAAUUAUCCUUCCUUUUUCGGGAAGUUAAUCGGUACUUUACAGGAGUACCUUGCUGAUCCUUCUAUCAGUGGUAUUCGCUGGAAUGAGUUUAACUAUGUAUUAUUCACCCAUUUUGCAAUCAAAUCGCCUCUGGCAUGGUCUACAUUUUUGGAUGAUCUUCAUGAAGUAUUCCAGUCCUUGGGGGAUAGAGCAAGGGGGCUUUUGCAGCAUUUGUUGUCAAAAACAGAGCGUAUGAAAGACUGGAGGUUCGUUUUUGAGCCAUCGGAAGCGGUACAUCCUGUUCUGGCAAUAGUAUAUGAGCAUAAUCGGAAAAAGAAGGAGAAGAUCUCCAGAGAAAGGGAAGGUGCAAUUGAGGAUGAUCGAAAUACGAGUUUUGUAAAUGAGGAUGACAGUGAUGUGGGGCAGACCGAUCUACAAGCCUCGCAAGCCCUGGUUGAAGGAGUUCAAGCUGGUGAUGAAGAGAAAGAAAUUCUGUAUAAAGUGGUGGCUCAAACCCAUGAGGCAUGGCAGAUCCAUCUGCAAGAAGAGUUGCAAGCUCUUAUUCCAGGAGCGCAAACCAAUGAGGAUCUGGAUGAAACGGUGGUUCAAACUCUGGCCAUACGUGUUGUAGAAGUACUAGUGAAGGAAGCUCACGAUGCCGGUAUUAUCGAGGACAAAGAUGCUCAUGUAGAAGUACCGGUCCCAGCUGAACCCAAUGCUCCAGAAGUACCGGUCCCAGCUGAACCCAAUGCUCCAGAAGUACCGGCCCCAACUGAACCCAAAGGGGCUAAGGAAGCAAACAUUUUACAGGAAGACAGUCAUUCUUCAGAAGUACCGGUCCCAGCUGAACCGAAUGCUCCCAAGGGCGAUAAAAAAAUAUUUCCUUUCCCUGAAUCCCCUUUAGGGUUAUUGAUUUGUUCGAGGCAUACCAAGCAACACGGAUCCAUAGGAGCUAGAGAUAAAAAAGGAAGACAAUUAUUAAAAACGAUAUCAGAAGUUGUGUUGAUAAUCGGUCAUUAUUUGGAAGACUUGGCUGAAAUACCAAAAGCGUUGAUAUAUAACCUCGACCGAUUCAAGAAAGACGUGAUAGAUAAUCCCAACAUAAACGGGUUCAAUGCUGAUGACUUCGAAGAAUUCAUAUUGAUGUUUACGGAGAUUCUUGAGCAGUUAGAUACUCCUGAAGUUAGUAAAUAA
rnacentral:rRNA from 1 species